GCAGUAACUGUUUGUCAGUUGGUAGAGCACGACCUUGCCAAGGUCGGGGUCGCGAGUUCGAGUCUCGUUUCCCGCUCCA
rnacentral:tRNA from 1 species